GAGGUAAAGGCUCACCAAGGCGACGACGGGUAGCCGGCCUGAGAGGGCGACCGGCCACACUGGGACUGAGACACGGCCCAGACUCCUACGGGAGGCAGCAGUGGGGAAUAUUGGGCAAUGGAGGAAACUCUGACCCAGCGACGCCGCGUGAGGGAUGAAGGCCUUCGGGUUGUAAACCUCUUUCAGUAGGGAAGAAGCGAAAGUGACGGUACCUACAGAAGAAGCACCGGCUAACUAUGUGCCAGCAGCCGCGGUAAUACAUAGGGUGCAAGCGUUGUCCGGAAUUAUUGGGCGUAAAGAGCUCGUAGGUGGUUCGAUACGUCGGAUGUGAAAAUCAGGGGCUCAACCCCUGACCUGCAUCCGAUACGGUCGAGCUAGAGUUUGGUAGGGGAGACUGGAAUUCCUGGUGUAGCGGUGGAAUGCGCAGAUAUCAGGAGGAACACCGAUGGCGAAGGCAGGUCUCUGGGCCAAUACUGACACUGAGGAGCGAAAGCGUGGGGAGCGAACAGGAUUAGAUACCCUGGUAGUCCACGCCGUAAACGGUGGGCGCUAGAUGUGGGGACCAUUCCAUGGUUUCUGCGUCGCAGCUAACGCAUUAAGCGCCCCGCCUGGGGAG
rnacentral:rRNA from 1 species